rnacentral:rRNA from 1 species
UACGUAGGGGGCAAGCGUUGUCCGGAUUUAUUGGGCGUAAAGCGCUCGCAGGUGGUUCGUCGCGUCGUGCGUGAAAGACCCCGGCUCAACUGGGGGAGGUCGUGCGAUACGGGCGGACUGGAGGCCAGUAGGGGGAUGCGGAAUUCCGGGUGUAGUGGUGGAAUGCGUAGAGAUCCGGAGGAACACCAGCGGCGAAGGCGGCGUCCUGGACUGGUACUGACGCUCAGGAGCGAAAGCGUGGGGAGCGAUCCGG